UGUUAUUUCCAAGCACACUAGGGAUGGGUGGAAAAGGUUUGUCUCAAUAGGGCUUCAAGAUAAGACAGCCAACGACAGUAGGCCAGAAUAUACUCAAAGACUAAAUCCAAGGAGCUCAGCAUCAAAGAAGUUAAAGAAUAGAAAUCACACAGAAAUUAUUUUUGCAAUGUGUAAUUGGUGCAGGAACGGAUUCUGAGGUGCAGAAAGAGCACUGUUUGUGGAAAACCAACACAGCCUUUUUAUCCACCUUCCGGUUACUCUGUGAGGCUAGCUUCUAUUCAACUCUGUGUGGUAAAGAGUUCCCUUCCAAAUGAGAAGGUCUGCCAAACUAUAAAACCCGAUUUUCAUAUUACAAAAAGCAAGAGACCAGUCUGGGUGGCAGUUUAAUUCUGUAAUAAAAUUUGAUUUUGUAGCAACUUCCUAUCAGAACUAUGUGUGUGUGAUUAGACAUACAGUUGGAGACAGACAGACAGACACACGACAAUCUUGAUAAAUAAUUCCCCCUACGCUAGAAAACGGAGCUAACCAAACUGGGGCAAAUUUUUUAAAAAUAGCUGUUGUCCAGUACAACACUUCUCAUGCCUGGUAAAGCUGCCCUGUUGUUUCUUUUCAAUCUCCUUUCUUGCUACAGAGUUAACGCUCAGAGAUUUACCAGGCAGCCAUUUGAAUGCUGAGCCUGCCAAGAGCUAGAGAGAUUUUUUUUUUUUUUUUGCUUCACUUCCCGAUUAAUUUUAACUGCGUCACUUGAAGCGGAGCCAUGUUGGAGUCAGCGUCGAAAGCAGAUUUAUAAAGGCGGCUUCUAAUUUGUUCACCUCUUGCUUUUGGAAGCUCAGCUGCCCCACCGCAGUUUAGCUCGACACCUAAUAUUUUUACUAACAAAGGCUCAUGGAAUAGCACACAGCACUAUGGAAACAGACAUUUCCUGACUCUCACAGACCUGCAGUCCAUCUCUGGGGACCCCUGACAACAACACCACAGCAGAAGAUUCUUUGUGUGGGGGAUGCUUACUGCCACCACCCUAUCAUGAUUCUACAAGAGUGCUGUGAAGGAUUCCAACAUAUAGAGUCCUCUGCUCAUCUGGGUGGUGGCUGAGAUCUCCCUUCUCUAGGAAAGACCCCAGCUAUGUGAACACAUGGAGCAGUAAUCCAGGUAGAGAGGAUGCCCAGCCUGCCCAAAGAGAGGAGAUGCUGCUGGGCUGCCACUAGGCCCGAAGAUGGUUGUAUGGGUGAUCUCUGAUCCUGCCACACCAAGGAGAGUCAAAGGGUUCCCUUUGGGAUGUGACUAGUGCCCCAAUUUUCCUAAUCUGAAUCUAGAGUGAUUCUGUAUUUCCACCUGAGCAAGUGAGGGCAGAUUUUGGCCCUCAAGGCCAAAUUCAUCUCUAGUGUAACUCUUCUGAUUUCAUCUCAGCUUGGCUUCACUGAGUUACACCAGGGAUGAAUUUGGUCCAACAAGCCAAGUUCUAGUCUCAUUUCCCAUACCCUAGUGUAAAUCUGCAGGAAUUGCAUUAAUGUUAAUUAGGAAAAUGUAGACCUAAGAAUUUAGAAAAAGAUGCUCAGUUCACUAGAAAAACAAAUUGUUGUCAAUUAUCAUCUCAUCUAUAAAGGUAUUAAUUCCAAAAUAUUCACAAACAUAAGUUUCUUCAGGUUUCUGUAAAGAAUUAUGAGUUCUCUCCUUUCCUAUCCUUCGCCCCCACACCGCCAAGAGUGUGAUAUUUUGGCAGACAGACUGAACAAUAUAUUUAUGUGAAACUCUACAUUGGGCAUGGUUCCCUUAUCGUUGCCAAGUACUCUUUGGACUCUUGAUAAAAUAACGAGCCUCUCCCAGUUUAGCAGAACACUCCUAUGACUCUACAAAAGGUAUUUACAGAUAGAGGUGGGGGGUUGGUAGAAGAUUCUGUUUGCAGAUGCUUCCUUUCUGAACAUGCGUAAAGCCUUAGCAAUGUGUCCAGCUUGCCCACAUUUUCAAUCCUGUAAACUCCUAAAGGCAACAAACUUCAACACUGUAUAAAAACUAAAGCAUUUAAUGCAAGUUACAGUCUUUGCCUUUUGCAAGCUGUAGCUCAGAGAUAUUAAUAGGGUUUCUGGGAAACUGCCCACCAACUUAUUGUAUAUCAUUUAAAAAUUGAUUUCAGAGUUAUGCAACAAAACUCGCAGCAAUUUCUUCACAUGUAAAGAGACAUGUAGAACCUAGAUAUCACUCUUUGUAUCAUGUCUAGAUCACUAGAUAUU